GCAGCUCUUUCCCUUCACUAAUAAGCAGGUUGUAGAUGGGAACAAGAUCAGUUUCCAUCAUAUUGGACAUAUGCAGUGAUGCCAGCUAUGGGUUGGGAGCUGCUGAAGCUUCCCUGGUUCUAUUUCUGGCUUUUCCAUUGACUCAGGAACAAGGAAGUUGGAAAUGACGUGAGAGGUGAUAUGGAUGGAGACAGCUGGAUGGGCUGCCAAGCUCUGAGGAACGUGUUGGAGAUGCAUUUCCUCCCAAGUCGUGGAAGCUUGCUUUAAGGGCAUUCAUGUUCCUCCCUGUGCCACUAUUGUUGCAGGGUGGGUGCUGGCACAGAAACUUUUUCCAUCCAGGCAUGAAUGGGCAUACCUCAUGCUGAAAAUAGAGCUGAUUGGGAAUUUUCAUCUUAAUCCUUAGCAGAAGGCAAGUUGCCUUGCUUGUAAAAUUGAAGGUUUCUCUAUUAACAUUCCCCUUAAAUAUUUUGUUUUCAGGGAAAAACAAAACACUAUUCAAUUUUGCAUUGGUUUGACUUCUGAAGGAAUAUUCUGAGUGGACUGAAGGUAUUUGCUGCUAUUCACAUUUAAAAAUGGUUUCUGUUGUUUUCUAUUGCUAUAUAUAGUUUAAAGCUCUCUCAUCCAUAAAACAAACUGGUCCGAACUGUAAUGCCCUGAAUGAGGAAAACUAUAGUAAAAUUGGAUGUUCUGGUAUGGACAAAUGAUGCAUGAUGAUGUUGAAUUAACUUGAACAGUUCAGUAAGCUAAAAACCAGGAAAGACAGAUUAUGUAAUAGGCCUAAAAAUGGAGUGAUACUCCAAUCCUUUGAAAAAAAGCAUUUUGCAGAAUUUCUAUUUUGCUGAAGUUGUUAAGGAUUUUUAAACAUUUGUCCUGGUACAAAGCCC
rnacentral:lncRNA from 1 species